AUCCAGAUGACGAGUCCCAAAUAGGAUGAAAUGCGCAUUUUUGAU
rnacentral:hammerhead_ribozyme from 1 species